rnacentral:rRNA from 1 species
UACGUAGGGGGCAAGCGUUGUCCGGAAUCAUUGGGCGUAAAGAGCGUGUAGGCGGCCCGGUAAGUCCGCUGUGAAAGUCCAGGGCUCAACCCUGGGAUGCCGGUGGAUACUGUCGGGCUCGAGUCCGGAAGAGGAGUGUGGAAUUCCUGGUGUAGCGGUGAAAUGCGCAGAUAUCAGGAGGAACACCGGUGGCGAAGGCGGGUCUCUGGGCAGUAACUGACGCUGAGGAGCGAAAGCGUGGGGAGCGAACAGG